rnacentral:tRNA from 1 species
AGCUUUUAGUUUAUUUGAAUGGUUCAUUUACAAUGAUUAGGUUAUAGGCUUUU